UCUGGAUGACAAAUCCAUCUACAUUGGCAACGACGGGCUCUGUGGAUCUCCACUAAGAAGUUGUGAAGAAGAGCAACCUCAACGUCCAGAGCAUGUUGAAAAAAAAGCUGUGAAGAAGUCUGAAAUGCUCUGGUUUGACUGUGGCUUGGGAGUAGGUUUCAUGGCAGGAUUUGUGGGAGUUUGUAGCACUUUAUACUUCAAAGAUUCUUGGAGGCAUGCAUACUUCAGAUUAAUCGAAAACAUCUACAACAAGCUCUGGGUAAUAGUUGUGAUAAGCAAAAAUCAGCUGCAGAGAAAGCUCCGUGGAGAUGAACAUGGAGGGCAAAUGUGAUGAGAAGGACUUCAAAGCUAUCAAUAAAGCUCUGCCCAGAGUCGGACGAGCUGCAGGUUGACUGUUAACCGUGCUAUUGUGAAUUGUUGCUGUUACUUUCUUCCCUUAAAACUCAG
rnacentral:misc_RNA from 1 species